AUUGUUGAUUUAUUCAUGUACUGCAUGCAUAUGCUUACUGCUCCAACUCCACCCAUUCCAGUUUGUAAUAAAAUGGCUGAUUCUUCAAUGGUCUACACUCUUACUCCAGAGCUAUCCUUUUCACCAUCUACAGCAAGAGCAAAAACCACUUAUAAAAUUGGUUCAAAGUUAGUGAAUACUGAAACGAGACACACAGAGUACAAAGUUGGAAAUUUUGCUUUGAAUAACUUAGAGCAGCACAUAAGGAAGUAUGGUUCAGCGUUUUUAAAUUCAGGAGGUGGUACCCUAACAAUUGGUAUUGCUGAUGAUGG